rnacentral:rRNA from 1 species
UUAAAUGGCCGCGGUAUUUUGACCGUGCAAAGGUAGCAUAAUAAUUAGUUUCUUAAUUAGAAGCUGGAAUGAAAGAUUGGAUGAGAAAAUGACUGUCUCAAUUUAAUUUAAUUAGAAUUUUAUUUUUAAGUUAAAAAGCUUAAAUAAUUUUAAAAGACGAGAAGACCCUAUAGAGUUUUAUUUAAAUUUUAUUUUUAAAUUUAUAGAUUGAAAUUUUUAAGAUUAAAAUUUAAAUUUUGUUGGAGUGAUAGAAAAAUUUAUUAAACUUUUUUUAAAUAUUAACAUUAAUAAAUGAUUAAUUGAUCCUAAAUUUUAGAUUAUAAGAUAAAAUUACCUUAGGGAUAACAGCGUAAUUUUUUUUAAGAGUUCUUAUCGAAAAAAAAGAUUGCGACCUCGAUGUUGGAUUAAAGUAUAAUUUUGGUGUAGAAGCUAAAAAAUUUAGUCUGUUCGAC